UACGGAGGGUGCAAGCGUUAUCCGGAUUCACUGGGUUUAAAGGGUGCGUAGGCGGGCAGGUAAGUCAGUGGUGAAAUCUCCGAGCUUAACUCGGAAACUGCCUUUGAUACUAUCUGUCUUGAAUAUUGUGGAGGUAAGCGGAAUAUGUCAUGUAGCGGUGAAAUGCUUAGAUAUGACAUAGAACACCUAUUGCGAAGGCAGCUUACUACGCAUAUAUUGACGCUGAGGCACGAAAGCGUGGGGAUCAAACAGG
rnacentral:rRNA from 1 species